rnacentral:rRNA from 1 species
ACACGCAUGACACACUGCAUAUCAAUAAGCGGAGGAAAAGAAACUAACAAGGAUUCCCUUAGUAACGGCGAGUGAAGCGGGAAGAGCUCAAAUUUGAAAUCUUCAAGGUUCUACCUUGACGAAUUGUAGUUUAUAGAAGUGUUUUCUGUUAGUAGGAGUGGCAAAAGUUCUUUGGAAUAGGACAUCAUAGAGGGUGAGAAUCCCGUAUUUGAUCAUUCUUUUCUAGCUGUGUGAUACACUUUCAACGAGUCGGAUUGUUUGGGAAUGCAGUCCAAAAUGGGUGGUAAAUUUCAUCUAAAGCUAAAUAUUGGCGAGAGACCGAUAGCGAACAAGUACCGUGAGGGAAAGAUGAAAAGAACUUUGAAAAGAGAGUUAAACAGUACGUGAAAUUGUCAAAAGGGAAGCGUUUGACACCAGUGUUGUUUUUCCGAAAAUCAAUUACGAAUGUUUUAUUUUUGAGGAGUUAUGACUUCAUCGGCUUGCUCCUUUCUUUAUGAAACUUUCUUAAUGCACUUUUCGGUUAACAAGUCAACAUCAAUUUCUUUUGUUGUAAAAGGGUAUGAGGAAGGUGGCUUUCUUUUCGGAGAAAGUGUUUAUAGCCUUGUGCCUCUGCAAUCGGAGAGAUUGAGGUCUGCAGCGUAGAUCCUUCGGGGUUAGAUACACUUGUGCUAAGGUUAUAGCUUUUCAUAGACAACUUGUUGACUAUGUUAAGUCUUGUAGCUUACUCGCUUACGCUAUUUUACCUACGCUUAGGAUGUUGACGAGACUGUCGAUCUC